CGAGAGCGAGUCUGAAUAGGGCGUAUGAAGUUGCAGGUAUUAGACCCGAAACCGGGUGACCUAUCCAUGAGCAGGCUGAAGCGGUGGUAAGACACCGUGGAAGGGCCGCACCCACGUCUGUUGAAAAAGCCGGGGAUGACUUGUGGAUAGCGGAGAAAUUCCAAUCGAACUCGGAGAUAGCUGGUUCUCCCCGAAAUAGCUUUAGGGCUAGCGUUAUUUUAGAUUACCGGAGGUAAAGCACUGAAUGGUCUAGGGGCCGCGAGGUUACCAAAGCCUAUCAAACUCUGAAUGCCGGAUAAUUGAUGAAUAGCAGUCAGACUGUGUGAGAUAAGUCUCAUAGUCAAAAGGGAAACAGCCCAGAUCUACAGCUAAGGUCCCAAAUGAACACUAAGUGGAAAAUGAUGUGAAACUGCGAAGACAACCAGGAUGUUGGCUUAGAAGCAGCCACUCAUUCAAAGAGUGCGUAAUAGCUCACUGGUCGAGUGGUUUUGCGCAGAAAAUGUAACGGGGCUAAGUGUUCAACCGAAGCUUAGGCAUUGCAGUAAUGCAUUGGGUAGGGGAGCGUCGUAUGCGGGGCGAAGUCAGAGCGGAAGCACUGGUGGACUGCAUACGAGUGAGAAUGCCGGAAUAAGUAGCGAGAAUUAUGUGA
rnacentral:rRNA from 1 species